UUCCAGACUCCUACGGGAGGCAGCAGUGAGGAAUAUUGGUCAAUGGGCGGGAGCCUGAACCAGCCAUGCCGCGUGAAGGCGAGUGCCCUACGGGCGUUAAACUUCUUUUGUGCGGGAGCAAUAAGGGCCACGUGUGGCCCGAUGAGAGUACCGCACGAAUAAGCAUCGGCUAACUCCGUGCCAGCAGCCGCGGUAAUACGGAGGAUGCGAGCGUUAUCCGGAUUUAUUGGGUUUAAAGGGUGCGUAGGCGGGCUGUUAAGUCAGCGGUCAAAUGUCGGGGCUCAACCCCGGCCUGCCGUUGAAACUGGCGGCCUCGAGUGGGCGAGAAGUAUGCGGAAUGCGUGGUGUAGCGGUGAAAUGCAUAGAUAUCACGCAGAACUCCGAUUGCGAAGGCAGCAUACCGGCGCCCGACUGACGCUGAGGCACGAAAGCGUGGGUAUCGAACAGGAUUAGAUACCCUAGUA
rnacentral:rRNA from 1 species